UAAAACGUAGGAGGCGAGCGUUAUCCGGAUUUACUGGGCGUAAAGCGCGUGCAGGCGGUUUGGUAAGUCGGACGUGAAAGCUCCCGGCUCAACUGGGAGAGGUCGUUCGAAACUGCCAGACUAGAGGGCAGCAGAGGGAGGUGGAAUUCCGGGUGUAGCGGUGAAAUGCGUAGAUAUCCGGAGGAACACCAGUGGCGAAGGCGGCCUCCUGGACUGUCCCUGACGCUAAGACGCGAAAGCUAGGGUAGCAAACGGGAUUAGAAACCCCGGUAGUCCUAGCCGUAAACGAUGCACACUUGGUGUUGGUGGCGUAAGACCCAUCAGUGCCGCAGCUAACGCGAUAAGUGUGCCGCCUGGGGACUACGGUCGCAAGGCUA
rnacentral:rRNA from 1 species